rnacentral:rRNA from 1 species
GUGGGGAAUCUUCCGCAAUGGACGAAAGUCUGACGGAGCAACGCCGCGUGAGUGAUGAAGGUCUUCGGAUUGUAAAGCUCUGUUAAUCGGGACGAAAGAGCCUAGUGUGAAUAAUGCUAGGAAGUGACGGUACCGGAAUAGAAAGCCACGGCUAACUACGUGCCAGCAGCCGCGGUAAUACGUAGGUGGCAAGCGUUGUCCGGAAUUAUUGGGCGUAAAGCGCGCGCAGGCGGAUCUGCCAGUCUGUCUUAAAAGUUCGGGGCUUAACCCCGUGAUGGGAUGGAAACUACAGAGCUAGAGUAUCGGAGAGGAAAGUGGAAUUCCUAGUGUAGCGGUGAAAUGCGUAGAUAUUAGGAGGAACACCAGUGGCGAAGGCGACUUUCUGGACUGUAACUGACGCUGAGGCUCGAAAGCCAGGGGAGCGAACGGGAUUAGAUACCCCGGUAGUCC